GAUGAACGCUGGCGGCGUGCCUAAUACAUGCAAGUCGAGCGAACAGACGAGGAGCUUGCUCCUCUGACGUUAGCGGCGGACGGGCGAGUAACACGUGGAUAACCUACCUAUAAGACUGGGAUAACUUCGGGAAACCGGAGCUAAUACUGGAUAAUAUAUUGAACCGCAUGGUUCAAUAGUGAAAGACGGUUUUGCUGUCACUUAUAGAUGGAUCCGCGCCGCAUUAGCUAGUUGGUAAGGUAACGGCUUACCAAGGCAACGAUGCGUAGCCGACCUGAGAGGGUGAUCGGCCACACUGGAACUGAGACACGGUCCAGACUCCUACGGGAGGCAGCAGUAGGGAAUCUUCCGCAAUGGGCGAAAGCUUGACGGAGCAACGCCGCGUGAGUGAUGAAGGUCUUCGGAUCGUAAAACUCUGUUAUUAGGGAAGAACAAAUGUGUAAGUAACUAUGCACGUCUUGACGGUACCUAAACAGAAAGCCACGGCUAACUACGUG
rnacentral:rRNA from 1 species